GCGGAGGAAAAGAAACCAACAGGGAUUGCCCUAGUAACGGCGAGUGAAGCGGCAACAGCUCAAAUUUGAAAUCUGGCGUCUUUGGCGUCCGAGUUGUAAUUUGCAGAGGGCGCUUUGGCAUCGGCAGCGGUCCAAGUUCCUUGGAACAGGACGUCACAGAGGGUGAGAAUCCCGUACGUGAUCGCUAGCCUUUACCGUGUAAAGCCCCUUCGACGAGUCGAGUUGUUUGGGAAUGCAGCUCUAAAUGGGAGGUAAAUUUCUUCUAAAGCUAAAUACUGGCCAGAGACCGAUAGCGCACAAGUAGAGUGAUCGAAAGAUGAAAAGCACUUUGGAAAGAGAGUUAAAAAGCACGUGAAAUUGUUGAAAGGGAAGCGCUUGCAGCCAGACUUGCCUGUAGUUGCUCAUCCGGGUUUUUAUCCGGUGCACUCUUCUAUAGGCAGGCCAGCAUCAGUUUGGGCGGUUGGAUAAAGGUCUCUGUCAUGUACCUCUCUUCGGGGAGAACUUAUAGGGGAGACGACAUGCAACCAGCCUGGACUGAGGUCCGCGCAUCUGCUAGGAUGCUGGCGUAAUGGCUGUAAGCGGCCCGUCUUGAAACACGGACCAAGGAGUCUAACAUCUAUGCGAGUGUUUGGGUGUCAAGCCCGAACGCGUAAUGAAAGUGAACGGAGGUGGGAACCUUUCGGGGUGCACCAUCGACCGAUCCUGAUGUCUUCGGAUGGAUUUGAGUAAGAGCAUAGCUGUUGGGACCCGAAAGAUGGUGAACUAUGCUUGAAUAGGGUGAAGCCAGAGGAAACUCUGGUGGAGGCUCGCAGCGGUUCUGACGUGCAAAUCGAUCGUCAAAUUUGGGCAUAGGGGCGAAAGACUAAUCGAACUAUCUAGUAGCUGGUUCCUGCC
rnacentral:rRNA from 1 species